rnacentral:rRNA from 1 species
GUCGAGAGGCUUCGGCAAUGGGGGAAACCCUGACCGAGCGACGCCGCGUGAGGGAUGACGGCCUUCGGGUUGUAAACCUCUUUCAGGAGGGAAGAAAUGCGUGCGAUCCAAUACAUCGCACGCUUGACGGUACCUUCAGAAGAAGCUCCGGCUAACUCCGUGCCAGCAGCCGCGGUAAUACGGGGGGAGCAAGCGUUGUUCGGAAUCACUGGGCGUAAAGGGCGCGUAGGCGGCCUGGUAAGUGGAGUGUGAAAUCCCCCGGCUCAACCGGGGAGGGUCGCUCCAAACUGCCUGGCUUGAGUGCAGGAGAGGAGACUGGAAUUCUCGGUGUAGCGGUGAAAUGCGCAGAUAUCGGGAAGAACACCGGUGGCGAAGGCGAGUCUCUGGCCUGUUUCUGACGCUGAGGCGCGAAAGCUGGGGGAGCAAACGGGAUUAGAAACCCCAGUAGUCC